UUUCCGUAGGUGAACCUGCGGAAGGAUCAUUGUCGAAACCUGCCCAGCAGAACGACCCGCGAACUUGUAUAAACAACCGGGGGGCGGGGGGCGUUCUCGCCCCGUGCCCCCGAACGGCGGGGAGACACUCGUGCCUUCUUGCCGAACAACGAACCCCGGCGCGGUCUGCGCCAAGGAAAUUCAACUAAAGAGUGCCUCCGGUCGCCUCGGAAACGGCGUGCGUGCCGGGGGCGCAUCUUGUGCAGAACCAUAACGACUCUCGGCAACGGAUAUCUCGGCUCUC
rnacentral:misc_RNA from 1 species